CACGUAGGGGCCAAGCGUUGUCCGGAUUUAUUGGGCGUAAAGAGCGUGUAGGCGGCCAAGCAGGUCAGCUGUGAAAACUCGAGGCUCAACCUCGAGACGUCGGUUGAAACCGCUUGGCUAGAGUCCGGAAGAGGAGAGUGGAAUUCCCGGUGUAGCGGUGAAAUGCGCAGAUAUCAGGAAGAACACCCGUGGCUAAGGCGGCUCUCUAGUACGGUACUGACGCUGAGACGCGAAAGCGUGGGGAGCGAACAGG
rnacentral:rRNA from 1 species